rnacentral:rRNA from 1 species
UGCAAGUCGAACGCUUCUUUUUCCACCGGAGCUUGCUCCACCGGAUAAAGAGGAGUGGCGAACGGGUGAGUAACACGUGGGUAACCUGCCCAUCAGAAGGGGAUAACACUUGGAAACAGGUGCUAAUACCGUAUAACAAUCAAAACCGCAUGGUUUUGAUUUGAAAGGCGCUUUCGGGUGUCGCUGAUGGAUGGACCCGCGGUGCAUUAGCUAGUUGGUGAGGUAACGGCUCACCAAGGCCACGAUGCAUAGCCGACCUGAAAGGGUGAUCGGCCACAUUGGGACUGAGACACGGCCCAAACUCCUACGGGAGGCAGCAGUAGGGAAUCUUCCACAAUGGACAAGGACAA